UCACCCUAAGUAGGGUUAGGCGAUUUGGCCCCUUUUACCCAAAUAUCACAUCUUAAAUCCGAUGGAUUGUCAAGCAUUGCAGCAAAAUAUCAGGGAGAGCGGAUUUUGACAUUUUGGUGUAGGAUUAGGCUGGAUGUGAAGUCUAUGGAGGUUGGCGCUCCAUGGUCCAUGGGUGUGUGUGUGUGUGUGCGCUGGUGCCCGGGCUUGGUUGCUGGUAGCAGGGGUGGGUGCAGGGUCUGAUGUGGAGACUCAGUGUUUCCCCUGGUUCUCAGGAGGCUUUACUUGGUACACCUGCAGCCACUUGCUGCACUCUUGAUUGCAUGAGCAGAAGGCAGCUGUGGGUACCUAACAUGCCAAUCAACGAAUGACUGAGGAGCAGUACUUAACAGCCCAGGACCGGAGCGGACUUCUUUCCCCUCCACUGUUCACACGAUUCUCAUAUCAACAUGGCGCCCCCAAAGCAUAGUGUUUGUUGCCCACUCUGCCGUUCUGAAUUUACCUAUAUAGGCAGGCACCUAAGAAAUAGUCAUGGCAUUAAAAAUUCAAAAGAGCGAGAAAUAUUGAUCAAGUACAGUAGUGGGAGGGUCAAUAUUAGAAAAAUGCCCUGUCCAGUGGAGGGCUGCAGUUAUGCUAGCACAAGGCUGGACAGGCAUAUUGCUCAAGCUCACCCGGAGAUGGAGGGGGAGAGGAAAGCCCAGGUGAUAACCGAUUUGAAGUACCAGGUAACGGUGCACAUGCUGCGAGCGUUGAGCGCCACAAACCCGAGCCCUCCGAUGGUCUCACGCUUACACAUGGACCCAAUAGCAAGAGAGGAAGCAAAUCGGUAUCAUCCAACAUCAGAACCCCUUGAUGACGAACCAUCGCCUUCAUCCUGCAACUCGUGCAAACAGCUUGAGGCAAAGAACCUGCAGCUUAUAUCCGACUUGGGGCAACUAAGAAAGAAAUUGCUGUACCAGCACAGAUGGGCUGAAAGGGCAAAAAAAACAAUCAAACGACUGGAAGAGGUAUGUAAAAUGUUUAUUACCUAGCAGCACCUUUACCCAGGACCAGAGCACAUGUGCUGGGCAGGAUAGCUCCAUAGCUUAGGCCUGGUUGUACCGGCAGAACCAGCGGGUAGAUGCGGAUGACUUUUACCCAGGAUCAGAGCACAUGUGCUGGGCAGGAUAGCUCCAUAGCUUAGGCCUGGUUGUACCGGCAGAACCAGCGGGUAGAUGCGGAUGACUUUUACCCAGGAUCAGAGCACAUGUGCUGGGCAGGAUAGCUCCAUAGCUUAGGCCUGGUUGUACCGGCAGAACCAGAAAACUUAGCACUAAACCUUUAUUUAACAGGACCGCCAAAAGGCAUCCACAGCCCCGGUUCCAAGUGUGGACGUUGAUGCUCUGGUGAGGAGUGAAUCUUUCUCUCCUGAUGAAGAACAGCAGCACAUCAACAGACCUAAGUCAAAGGGGGAAAGCCGGAGCACCCUCUGUUUGGCGAAAGCGUACCCCAAAUUCCCACCAAGCAUCUUGGAAUACAUCGCGGAAUAUUGGCAGCAUCUCAAAGGCUCUCGUGGUCUGAGGAAAAGGAUCGAAAAUCAAAGAUCCAAAGUGGGUAGAAUCAUGGCUUUCCUUUCGUUUAUAACCAAGGGACAGCCAAUCCUCCAGAAUUGGACUUUCCUUCACAAUAUGUCCAGGAUAUACCAGUGGCCAGAGCAUCUGCAGAAUGGUGGAAAAGCGGAGAACACAGUGAAGACC